AGAGUUUGAUCAUGGCUCAGAACGAACGCUGGCGGCGUGCUUAACACAUGCAAGUCGAGUGCGCGUGCCGUAGCAAUACGGUAUGGCGCACGGCGCACGGGUGCGUAACACGUGGGCAAUCUGCCCUCCGAUGGGGAAUAACUCCGGGAAACCGAAGCUAAUUCCGCAUAACAUUCCUUGGACUCCGGUCCGGGGAUUCAAAGCAGCAAUGCGUCGGAGGAGGAGCCCGCGCCCGAUUAGCUAGUUGGUGAGGUAACGGCUCACCAAGGCUAUGAUCGGUAGCUGGUCUGAGAGGAUGGCCAGCCACACUGGAACUGAGACACGGUCCAGACUCCUACGGGAGGCAGCAGUGGGGAAUCUUGCGCAAUGGGCGAAAGCCUGACGCAGCGACGCCGCGUGGGGGAUGAAGCUUCUCGGAGUGUAAACCCCUUUCGACCGGGACGAAUGCCCGCAAGGGAGUGACGGUACCGGUAGAAGAAGCCCCGGCUAACUACGUGCCAGCAGCCGCGGUAAGACGUAGGGGGCCAGCGUUGUUCGGAAUUACUGGGUGUAAAGGGUUCAUAGGCGGUGUGGCAAGUCGGGAGUGAAAUUUCUGGGCUUAACUCAGAACCUGCUUCCGAAACUGCUGUGCUCGAGUGUGGGAGAGGCGCGUGGAAUUGCAGGUGUAGCGGUGAAAUGCGUAGAUAUCUGCAGGAACACCCGUGGCGAAAGCGGCGCGCUGGACCACUACUGACGCUGAGGAACGAAAGCUAGGGGAGCAAACAGGAUUAGAUACCCUAGUAGUCC
rnacentral:rRNA from 1 species